rnacentral:rRNA from 1 species
GACGAACGCUGGCGGCGUGCCUAAUACAUGCAAGUUGAGCGCUGAAGGUUGGUACUUGUACCUACUGUAUUAGCAGCGAACGGGUGAGUAACGCGUGGGGAAUCUGCCUUUGAGCGGGGGACAACAUUUGGAAACGAAUGCUAAUACCGCAUAAAAACUUUAAACACAAGUUUUAAGUUUGAAAGAUGCAAUUGCAUCACUCAAAGAUUAUCCCGCGUUUUAUUAGCUAGUUGGGGAGGGAAAGGCUUACCAAGGCGAAGAUACAUAGCCGACCUGGGAGGGUGAUCGGCCAAAAUUGGACUGAGAAACGGCCCAAACUCCUACGGGAGGCAGCAGGAGGGAAUCUUUGGCAAUGGACGAAAGUCUGACCGGGCAACGCCGCGUGAGUGAAGGAGGUUUUCGGAUCGUAAAACUCUGUUGGUAGAGAAGAACGUUGGUGAGAGUGGAAAGCUCAUCAAGUGACGGUAACUACCCAGAAAGGGACGGCUAACUACGUG